CAAUAUAAUGAUUAAGUGGCAUUGUAAGGAAGGAAUGAUGGAUGCAGCUACUGAUGUUAUUCGGGAAAUGGAAGUGAAUGGAUAUCAACCAGAUCAUGUUACCUACAACACUUUGAUUAAUGGAU
rnacentral:miRNA from 1 species